UCAUAUGCUUGUGUCAAAGAUUAAGCCAUGCAUGUCUCAGUACAAGCCAAAUUAAGGUGAAACCGCGAAAGGCUCAUUAAAUCAGUUAUGGUUCCUUAGAUCGUACCCACAAUUACUUGGAUAACUGUGGUAAUUCUAGAGCUAAUACAUGCAAACAGAGCUCCGACCGGAGACGGAAGGAGUGCUUUUAUUAGAUCAAAACCAAUCGGUGGCGGGUUCGCUCGUUAUCGUACAACUUGGUGACUCUGAAUAACUUUACGCUGAUCGCACGGUCAUCGCACCGGCGACGCAUCUUUCAAAUGUCUGCCUUAUCAACUGUCGAUGGUAGGUUCUGCGCCUACCAUGGUUGUAACGGGUAACGGGGAAUCAGGGUUCGAUUCCGGAGAGGGAGCCUGAGAAACGGCUACCACAUCCAAGGAAGGCAGCAGGCGCGCAAAUUACCCACUCCCGGCACGGGGAGGUAGUGACGAAAAAUAACGAUACGGGACUCAUCCGAGGCCCCGUAAUCGGAAUGAGUACACUCUAAACCCUUUAACGAGGAUCAAUUGGAGGGCAAGUCUGGUGCCAGCAGCCGCGG
rnacentral:rRNA from 1 species